AAAACAUUGGCCAGGGCCUCUGAUAUGUUACAAUGUCGUUUUAUGACCAUCAGAAUUCUGUAAAAUCUCUCCCCAAAGUCCGGGAAAUGGCAUUUCAGAGAGUCUAGAUUCAAAAAUUUUCCGGAAAACUCGUGCAUAUACGGCGCUCAACUCGUGCAUUCGGCAUUUCUACUAUGGGGGGAGGGCCUUCGAAAAUUUUGAACCGGGGGCCCCCUGAUAUAACGUUACGCCACUGUAU